GAUGAACGCUGGCGGCGUGCCUAAUACAUGCAAGUCGAGCGAACAGACGAGGAGCUUGCUCCUCUGACGUUAGCGGCGGACGGGUGAGUAACACGUGGAUAACCCACCUAUAAGACUGGGAUAACUUCGGGAAACCGGAGCUAAUACCGGAUAAUAUAUUGAACCGCAUGGUUCAAUAGUGAAAGACGGUUUUGCUGUCACUUAUAGAUGGAUCCGCGCCGCAUUAGCUAGUUGGUAAGGUAACGGCUUACCAAGGCAACGAUGCGUAGCCGACCUGAGAGGGUGAUCGGCCACACUGGAGCUGAGACACGGUCCAGACUCCUACGGGAGGCAGCAGUAGGGAAUCUUCCGCAAUGGGCGAAAGCCUGACGGAGCAACGCCGCGUGAGUGAUGAAGGUCUUCGGAUCGUAAAACUCUGUUAUUAGGGAAGAACAAAUGUGUAAGUAACUAUGCACGUCUUGACGGUACCUAAUCAGAAAGCCACGGCUAACUACGUG
rnacentral:rRNA from 1 species